rnacentral:rRNA from 1 species
GAUGAACGCUGGCGGCAGGCUUAAUACAUGCAAGUUGAACGGUAACAUAUUGUAGCAAUACGAUGAUGACGAGUGGCGUACGGGUGCGUAACACGUGUGCAACCUACCUUAUACCGGUAACAUAACGUCGAGAAAUUGACGCUAACAUUCCAUAACAUUGCUUGAAGGCAUCUUUUAGCAAUUAAAACUCCGGUGGUAUAAGAUGGGCACGCGUUCCAUUAGCUUGUUGGUAAGGUAACGGCUUACCAAGGCUACGAUGGAUAGGGGUUCUGAGAGGAUUAUCCCCCACACUGGAACUGAGACACGGUCCAGACUCCUACGGGAGGCAGCAGUAAGGAAUAUUGGGCAAUGGAGGCAACUCUGACCCAGCCAUGCCGCGUGCAGGAAGACGGCCCUACGGGUUGUAAACUGCUUUUAAUAGGGAGUAAGGUUAGUUACGUGUAACUAAUUGCAAGUACCUAUAGAAUAAGGAUCGGCUAACUCCGUG